CCACUGCUGAGGAGUCUCAUGAUAGAGCGAAACGGCCGUCCAGUAC
rnacentral:hammerhead_ribozyme from 1 species